CCGGCACGGGUGGAGUAACACGUAUGCAAUCCACCUGUAACAGGGGAGUAACCCGGAGAAAUCCGACUAAUACCCAUAAUAUGGGCGCUCCGCAUGGAGAGCCCAUUAAAGAGAGCAAUUUUGGUUACAGACGAGCAUGCGCUCCAUUAGCCAGUUGGCGGGGUAACGGCCCACCAAAGCGACGAUGGAUAGGGGUUCUGAGAGGAAGGUCCCCCACAUUGGAACUGAGACACGGUCCAA
rnacentral:rRNA from 1 species